AAGUUAAGCCAUUCAAAGUGCAUUGCUUGUAUUAAUUCUUGAUAAUCCAGUGUACUGAGGAUCUAUUUGGGACGUAAGAAGCCCCUUUGACAUCUUUUCAUUUGCUAGGAAUUUUUUAUGUGAAAUCACAGAGAUAAAGUGAUGCAGUCAAACAAGACCAAAUUUAGAAAUUAUUUUGAUUUAAUAUUUCAUUUUAAAAUUAAGAAAAUUAGGUUUUUAUUGUUUAGAAAAUUUAAUUAGGAAGUA
rnacentral:misc_RNA from 1 species